rnacentral:rRNA from 1 species
AGAAUCAACGCUGGCGGCGUGCCUAACACAUGCAAGUCGCACGAGAAAGUGGAGCAAUCCAUGAGUAAAGUGGCGCACGGGUGAGUAACACGUGAAUCAUCUACCUCCGAGUGGGGAAUAACCUAGAGAAAUCUGGGCUAAUACCGCAUAACACUUACGAGUCAAAGCAGCAAUGCGCUUGGAGAGGAGUUCGCGGCCGAUUAGCUAGUUGGCGGGGUAAUGGCCCACCAAGGCGAUGAUCGGUAUCCGGCCUGAGAGGGCGCACGGACACACUGGAACUGAAACACGGUCCAGACUCCUACGGGAGGCAGCAGUGGGGAAUUUUGCGCAAUGGGGGAAACCCUGACGCAGCAACGCCGCGUGGAGGAUGAAUCCCUUGGGAUGUAAACUCCUUUCGAUAAGGAAGAUAAUGACGGUACCUAUAGAAGAAGCCCCGGCUAACUUCGUGCCAGCAGCCGC